rnacentral:tRNA from 1 species
UUAGAGAUGCCAGAUUUUAUGGGGUCGAUUUAGGAUUGGUUUAUGGGUGUUGUUCCUCUCUAAU